AUGGCAAGUCACCAAUCGCAAGACCCUUCCUCAAGCAUAGGCAAUGCUACUGGAAAUGAUAUGACUGUAACACUUGGUAACCCAUCCAGCAGAAAAAGGAUGAGAAUUGGUCCUGACUCAACACAAGUCACCACAGAUAACACAAACCCUUGGAACAAGGACACAUUUCCCAGAAGGUUACAAGAAAUAACUAGUCGGUUGCAAGGCAUUCAAGGGAAUGUGAUAGAGGUUCUCGAGAUACUUUUGUUAGACGCUGCUGCAACUUCAAACCAUCGUAAGAGUACAACGUCUGAUCCAUGCCAAAGAACAUCAAGUCUUGUUCAAAGAAAAAUGUAUGGGAGAGAUGCAGAGAAGAAAUUCAUCAUCAAGUUGAUAACAGAACACAAAUCAGCUGCUGGUGCCACUAUUCUGCCUAUUGUAGGCAUAGGAGGAGUUGGGAAGACAGCUUUUGCCCAACUCGUAUACAAUGAUCCUGCUCUGUAA
rnacentral:rRNA from 1 species